UACGAAGGGGGCUAGCGUUGUUCGGAUUUACUGGGCGUAAAGCGCACGUAGGCGGAUCUUUAAGUCAGAGGUGAAAUCCCAAGGCUCAACCUUGGAACUGCCUUUGAUACUGGGGAUCUUGAGUCCGGGAGAGGUGAGUGGAACUGCGAGUGUAGAGGUGAAAUUCGUAGAUAUUCGCAAGAACACCGGUGGCGAAGGCGGUCUGCUGGGCCAGUACUGACGCUGAGGCGCGACAGCGUGGGGAGCAAACAGG
rnacentral:rRNA from 1 species